rnacentral:misc_RNA from 1 species
UCACCCCUCAAGCCUGGCUUGCUGUUGGUGGCCGGCGCGAGGCCCCCUCGGGGUGGCCCGCGCCCCGCCCAAAGAUAAUGACGGCGUCCGCGAGGACUCCUGUACACUGAGCUUUCGGGCACGUACACGGUCAGCACUCCGGGCGCCGGUCGCCGUCUGCCGUCAUGGCGGACAACUUUUAUACCAA